GUUAUAUGGUCAAGCGAAUAAGCGCACACGGUGGAUGCCUUGGCGGUCAGAGGCGAUGAAGGACGUGGCAGCCUGCGAAAAGUAUCGGGGAGCUGGCAACAAGCUUUGAUCCGGUAAUGUCCGAAUGGGGAAACCCACCCGCUUGCGGGUAUCCUGCAGUGAAUACAUAGCUGCUGGAAGCGAACCUGGUGAACUGAAAUAUCUAAGUAACCAGAGGAAAAGAAAUCAACCGAGAUUCCGUAAGUAGCGACGAGCGAACGCGGACUAGCCCUUAAGCUGGAUUGGUUCUAGGAAAAYRCUCUGGAAAGAGCRGCCAUAGAAGGUGAUAGCCCUGUAUCUGAAAGGGCCAUUYCAGUGAAGACGAGUAGGGCGGGGCACGUGAAACCCUGUCUGAACAUGGGGGGACCAUCCUCCAAGGCUAAAUACUACUGACCGACCGAUAGUGAACCAGUACCGUGAGGGAAAGGCGAAAAGAACCCCGGAGAGGGGAGUGAAAUAGAACCUGAAACCGUGUGCGUACAAGCAGUAGGAGCUCCGCAAGGAGUGACUGCGUACCUUUUGUAUAAUGGGUCAGCGACUUACUGUUCGUGGCAAGCUUAACCGUAUAGGGGAGGCGAAGGGAAACCGAGUCUGAUAAGGGCGCAUAGUCGCGGGCAGUAGACCCGAAACCGGGUGAUCUAGUCAUGCCCAGGGUGAAGGUGCGGUAACACGCACUGGAGGCCCGAACCCACUCCCGUUGCAAAGGUAGGGGAUGAGGUGUGAUUAGGAGUGAAAAGCUAAUCGAACCCGGAGAUAGCUGGUUCUCCUCGAAAGCUAUUUAGGUAGCGCCUCAUAUGUAUCCUCUCGGGGGUAGAGCACUGUUAUGGCUAGGGGGUCAUCGCGACUUACCAAACCAUUGCAAACUCCGAAUACCGAGACGGACUGUAUGGGAGACACACGGCGGGUGCUAACGUCCGUCGUGAAAAGGGAAACAACCCAGACCCACAGCUAAGGUCCCAAAUUUUGUGCUAAGUGGAAAACCAUGUGGAAAGGCACAGACAGCCAGGAGGUUGGCUUAGAAGCAGCCACCCUUUAAAGAAAGCGUAAUAGCUCACUGGUCGAGUCGGUCUGCGGGGAAGAUUUAACGGGGCUAAGCACAGAACCGAAGCUUGGGGUGCAUAACUUUGUUAUGCGCGGUAGAGGAGCGUUCCGUAAGCCGUUGAAGGUGGAUUGAGAAGUCUGCUGGAGGUAUCGGAAGUGCGAAUGCUGACAUGAGUAACGAUAAUGCGGGUGAAAAACCCGCACGCCGAAAGCCCAAGGUUUCCUUGCGCAACGUUAAUCGGCGCAGGGUGAGUCGGCCCCUAAGGCGAGGACGAAAGUCGUAGUCGAUGGGAAGCAGGUUAAUAUUCCUGCACCUCGCGUAAGUGCGAUGGAGGGACGGAGAAGGUUAGGUGUACCAGGCGUUGGUUGUCCUGGGGAAAGGCGGUAGGUUUGGAUCUUUGGCAAAUCCGGGAUCCUUUAAGACCGAGCACCGAGACGAGCCUUUAUGGCGAAGUCACUGAUACCACGCUUCCAGGAAAAGCUCCUAAGCUUCAGCUUACGCAGACCGUACCGUAAACCGACACAGGUGGGUAGGAUGAGAAUUCUCAGGCGCUUGAGAGAACUCGGGUGAAGGAACUAGGCAACAUGGCACCGUAACUUCGGGAGAAGGUGCACCCUUUUUGGUGGCUCGUGCGAGCUAUAGCUGAAGAGGGUCGCAGUAACCAGGCCGCUGCGACUGUUUAUCAAAAACACAGCACUCUGCAAACACGAAAGUGGACGUAUAGGGUGUGACGCCUGCCCGGUGCUGGAAGGUUAAUUGAUGGGGUCAGCCGCAAGGCGAAGCUCUUGAUCGAAGCCCCAGUAAACGGCGGCCGUAACUAUAACGGUCCUAAGGUAGCGAAAUUCCUUGUCGGGUAAGUUCCGACCUGCACGAAUGGCGUAACGACAGCGGCGCUGUCUCCACCCGAGACUCAGUGAAAUUGAAAUCGCUGUGAAGAUGCAGCGUUCCCGUGGCAAGACGGAAAGACCCCGUGAACCUUUACUAUAGCUUUACACUGAACGUUGAGUUCGUCUGUGUAGGAUAGGUGGGAGGCUAUGAAACUGUGGCGCUAGCUGCAGYGGAGCCAUCCUUGAAAUACCACCCUGUCGUGCUUGACGUUCUAACCUGGGCCCAUUAUCUGGGUCGGGGACCGUGUAUGGUGGGUAGUUUGACUGGGGCGGUCUCCUCCUAAAGAGUAACGGAGGAGCUCGAAGGUACGCUCAGCGCGGUCGGACAUCGCGCACUGUGUGCAAAGGCAUAAGCGUGCUUGACUGCAAGAUCGACGGAUCAAGCAGGUAGGAAACUAGGACUUAGUGAUCCGGUGGUUCUGUAUGGAAGGGCCAUCGCUCAACGGAUAAAAGGUACUCCGGGGAUAACAGGCUGAUACCGCCCAAGAGUUCAUAUCGACGGCGGUGUUUGGCACCUCGAUGUCGGCUCAUCACAUCCUGGGGCUGUAGUCGGUCCCAAGGGUAUGGCUGUUCGCCAUUUAAAGUGGUACGCGAGCUGGGUUCAGAACGUCGUGAGACAGUUCGGUCCCUAUCUGCCAUGGGCGUUGGAGAUUUGAGAGGGGCUGCUCCUAGUACGAGAGGACCGGAGUGGACGAACCUCUGGUGUUCCGGUUGUCACGCCAGUGGCAUUGCCGGGUAGCUAUGUUCGGAAGCGAUAACCGCUGAAAGCAUCUAAGCGGGAAGCGCGCCUCAAGAUGAGAUCUCCCGGGGCACAAGCCCCCUGAAGGAACCAUGUAGACUACGUGGUUGAUAGGUCAGGUGUGUAAGUACAGCAAUGUAUUGAGCUAACUGAUACUAAUGAUCCGUGCGGCUUGACCAUAUAACCU
rnacentral:rRNA from 1 species